rnacentral:lncRNA from 1 species
AGAUUUCUUAAGUUUCUCUCUUGGUCUCUCUUGGCUUCAAUCAGCAGCCCUAGAAAACCUUGGGUCCUUGAGUAUUGCCCCAUUUUCAAGUAAAAGUUUGAAGGAAAGUUUCAGUUCUUGGAGUACAAGUUUAGAGGAUAAAUUCCUAGAAACUAAGAUUAGCAUCCAAGAAGGGAGGCUGAAUUGUGACAGUGGUAUUGGUCAGAAAAUAAGG